rnacentral:rRNA from 1 species
GAUGAACGCUGGCGGCGUGCCUAAUACAUGCAAGUCGAGCGAACGGACGAGAAGCUUGCUUCUCUGAUGUUAGCGGCGGACGGGUGAGUAACACGUUGAUAACCUACCUAUAAGACUGGGAUAACUUCGGGAAACCGGAGCUAAUACCGGAUAAUAUUUUGAACCGCAUGGUUCAAAAGUGAAAGGCGGUCUUGCUGUCACUUAUAGAUGGAUCCGCACUGCAUUAGCUAGUUGGUAAGGUAACGGCUUACCAAGGCAACGAUGCAUAGCCGACCUGAGAGGGUGAUCGGCCACACUGGAACUGAGACACGGUCCAGACUCCUACGGGAGGCAGCAGUAGGGAAUCUUCCGCAAUGGGCGAAAGCCUGACGGAGCAACGCCGCGUGAGUGAUGAAGGUCUUCGGAUCGUAAAACUCUGUUAGUAGGGAAGAACAUAUGUGUAAGUAACUGUGCACAUCUUGACGGUACCUAAUCAGAAAGCCACGGCUAACUACGUG